rnacentral:rRNA from 1 species
GGAAUAUUGCGCAAUGGGCGAAAGCCUGACGCAGCGACGCCGCGUGGGGGAUGAAGGUCUUCGGAUUGUAAACCCCUUUCAGGAGGGAAGAUGGGGCGGUGUAACCCGCUCGGACGGUACCUCCAGGCGCAGCCAAGGCUCACUUCGUGCCAGCAGCCGCGGUAACACGAAGGUGGCAAGCGUUGUUCGGAUUUACUGGGCGUAAAGAGACCGUAGGCGGUGGGGUAAGUCCUGUGUGAAAGCUCUCGGCUCAACCGGGAAAGUACGCAGGAAACUGCCUCACUAGAGGACGGGAGAGGAGCGCGGAAUUCCCGGUGUAGCGGUGAAAUGCGUAGAGAUCGGGAGGAAGGCCGGUGGCGAAGGCGGCGCUCUGGAACGUACCUGACGCUGAGGGUCGAAAGCGUGGGGAGCA